GAUGAACGCUGGCGGCGUGCCUAAUACAUGCAAGUCGAGCGAACAGAUAAGGAGCUUGCUCCUUUGACGUUAGCGGCGGACGGGUGAGUAACACGUGGGUAACCUACCUAUAAGACUGGAAUAACUCCGGGAAACCGGGGCUAAUGCCGGAUAACAUUUAGAACCGCAUGGUUCUAAAGUGAAAGAUGGUUUUGCUAUCACUUAUAGAUGGACCCGCGCCGUAUUAGCUAGUUGGUAAGGUAACGGCUUACCAAGGCAACGAUGCGUAGCCGACCUGAGAGGGUGAUCGGCCACACUGGAACUGAGACACGGUCCAGACUCCUACGGGAGGCAGCAGUAGGGAAUCUUCCGCAACGGGCGAAAGCCUGACGGAGCAAGCCCGCGUGAGUGAUGAAGGUCUUCGGAUCGUAAAACUCUGUUAUUAGGGAAGAACAAAUGUGUAAGUAACUGUGCACGUCUUGACGGUACCUAAUCAGAAAGCCACGGCUAACUACGUG
rnacentral:rRNA from 1 species